UUGAACGCUGGCGGUAUGCUUUACACAUGCAAGUCGAACGGGCUAUGGGGCUUGCUCCAUAGUUAGUGGCGAACGGGUGAGUAAUAUAUCGGAACAUAUCCGGAAGUGGGGGAUAACGUAGCGAAAGUUACGCUAAUACCGCAUACGCCCUGAGGGGGAAAGCGGGGGACCUUCGGGCCUCGCGCGAUUGGAGCGGCUGAUGUCGGAUUAGCUAGUUGGUGGGGUAAAGGCCUACCAAGGCGACGAUCCGUAGCUGGUCUGAGAGGAUGAUCAGCCACACUGGGACUGAGACACGGCCCAGACUCCUACGGGAGGCAGCAGUGGGGAAUUUUGGACAAUGGGCGCAAGCCUGAUCCAGCCAUGCCGCGUGAGUGAAGAAGGCCUUCGGGUUGUAAAGCUCUUUCAGACGGAAAGAAAUCGGGCGCGUGAAUAGCGUGCCUGGAUGACGGUACUGUCAGAAGAAGCACCGGCUAACUACGU
rnacentral:rRNA from 1 species